rnacentral:rRNA from 1 species
UACGAAGGGGGCUAGCGUUGCUCGGAAUCACUGGGCGUAAAGGGCUCGUAGGCGGCCAACUAAGUCGGAUGUGAAAUCCCCAGGCUUAACCUGGGAACUGCAUCCGAUACUGGAUGGCUUGAAUCCGGGAGAGGGAUGCGGAAUUCCAGGUGUAGCGGUGAAAUGCGUAGAUAUCUGGAGGAACACCGGUGGCGAAGGCGGCAUCCUGGACCGGCAUUGACGCUGAGGAGCGAAAGCCAGGGGAGCAAACGGG